rnacentral:rRNA from 1 species
UACGUAGGGGGCAAGCGUUGUCCGGAAUCAUUGGGCGUAAAGAGCGUGUAGGCGGCCCGGUAAGUCCGCUGUGAAAGUCAAAGGCUCAACCUUUGAAAGCCGGUGGAUACUGUGGGACUAGAGUACGGAAGAGGCGAGUGGAAUUCCUGGUGUAGCGGUGGAAUGCGCAGAUAUCAGGAGGAACACCAAUAGCGAAGGCAGCUCGCUGGGACGUUACUGACACUGAGGCGCGAAAGCGUGGGGAGCGAACAGG